CCUGCUGCAGGAUCAUU
rnacentral:rRNA from 1 species